rnacentral:pre_miRNA from 1 species
CCGAGACGGGCGGAUCACGAGGUCAGGAGAUCGAGANUCUCGAUCUCCUGACCUCGUGAUCCGCCUGCCUCGG